UUGCUUUUUAAAGAGCUCUGUGAUAGAGUUGUGGUAAGACAAGUUAGGAGGAUUUAAUGUUCUGUUUUUUUAGAGACACAGAAGACCCAGCCAGAUGCAAGCAGCAUUGCUGAGAUACAGAAGACCCAGACGGAUUCAAACAGUGCUGCUGGAGGGUCUAAUGCAAGUGCUAAAAACCCCAGGAAGAGGACAAGAACGCUGUGGUCAAAGCAAGAGGUGAUGGCUGUGAUGAAGCAUUUCAAGCCGCACAUAACCAAGGGAAAUCUGGCAACCAUGGCAGAAUGUCAGCAGUGCAAGGAUGCUGAAGACCCUGUGCUUGCCGGUCGAACAGCACAAAAUAUAAGAGAUUUCGUUAGAAAUCGAGGAAUCACCAAUAAAAGAAAAAUGCAGUGAAGCUAAAUAUAUUUUGUUUAGGGACAUGUGAGUUCAUGUUCUUCUUUUUUACUUUUUUUU